rnacentral:rRNA from 1 species
CCUACGGGUGGCAGCAGUGAGGAAUAUUGGUCAAUGGCCGGAAGGCUGAACCAGCCAAGCCGCGUGAAGGACGAAGGUGCCAAGCAUUGUAAACUUCUUUUGUCAAGGGACAAAAUCAGGCUCGAGAGCCUGACCGAGGGUACUUGAAGAAAAAGCAUCGGCUAACUCCGUGCCAGCAGCCGCGGUAAUACGGAGGAUGCGAGCGUUAUCCGGAUUUAUUGGGUUUAAAGGGUGCGUAGGCGGGCUGUUAAGUCAGCGGUAAAAGCCCGGGGCUCAACCCCGGCGAGCCGUUGAAACUGUGCGGCUGGAGUGCAGGAGGGGUAAGCGGAAUUCCUAGUGUAGCGGUGAAAUGCGUAGAUAUUAGGAGGAACACCGGUGGCGAAGGCGGCUUACUGGACUGUAACUGACGUUGAGGCUCGAAAGCGUGGGGAGCAAACAGGAUUAGAUACCCUAGUAGUC